UACGUAGGGUGCAAGCGUUGUCCGGAAUCAUUGGGCGUAAAGCGCGUGUAGGCGGCUUGGUAAGUCCGCUCUGAAAGCCCGGGGCUCAACCCCGGGAGGCGGGUGGAUACUGUCAAGCUCGAGUCCGGAAGAGGCGAGUGGAAUUCCCGGUGUAGCGGUGAAAUGCGCAGAUAUCGGGAGGAACACCAAUGGCGAAGGCAGCUCGCUGGGACGUUACUGACGCUGAGACGCGAAAGCGUGGGGAGCAAACAGG
rnacentral:rRNA from 1 species